rnacentral:lncRNA from 1 species
CUGGGGAAGGACAUUUCCCAGCUCAGGGAAUUACCAGUCGAGGGUUUUAUAACCACAAUAUGGGGCCGAGUCAUUCCAGUGAGAAGUUGCUGCCACUUUACCUUUCUUCCCAAGUAGGCAAAUUUAAAUGAAAGAAUGGCUGGACUUCAUUGGAAGCAGAUCCGGAGCACGAGAGCUUUCCUUCUGUCCACCUGGGAAGGUUCUGCUCUUGCAAGGCAGCCCCUCCCUCCCGACUACCUGCAAAGCCUCCUGUGCCCACAGGCCCUGAGGCUCCCAUGCCAGCAGGGCAGAGAGGGCGACUGA